rnacentral:rRNA from 1 species
AGAAUCAACGCUGGCGGCGUGCCUAACACAUGCAAGUCGCACGAGAAAGGGACUUCGGUCCUGAGUAAAGUGGCGCACGGGUGAGUAACACGUGAAUCAUCUACCUCCGAAUGGGGAAUAACUGAGAGAAAUCUUAGCUAAUACCGCAUAAUACCUACGGGUCAAAGCAGCAAUGCGUUUGGAGAGGAGUUCGCGGUCGAUUAGUUAGUUGGCGGGGUAAUGGCCCACCAAGACGAUGAUCGAUA